GUACACAAAAAUGCACAUGCUGUGAGCUCGAUGAGUAGGGCGGGACACGUGGUAUCCUGUCUGAAUAUGGGGGGACCAUCCUCCAAGGCUAAAUACUCCUGACUGACCGAUAGUGAACCAGUACCGUGAGGGAAAGGCGAAAAGAACCCCGGCGAGGGGAGUGAAAAAGAACCUGAAACCGUGUACGUACAAGCAGUGGGAGCACGCUUAGGCGUGUGACUGCGUACCUUUUGUAUAAUGGGUCAGCGACUUAUAUUCUGUAGCAAGGUUAACCGAAUAGGGGAGCCGAAGGGAAACCGAGUCUUAACUGGGCGUUAAGUUGCAGGGUAUAGACCCGAAACCCGGUGAUCUAGCCAUGGGCAGGUUGAAGGUUGGGUAACACUAACUGGAGGACCGAACCGACUAAUGUUGAAAAAUUAGCGGAUGACUUGUGGCUGGGGGUGAAAGGCCAAUCAAACCGGGAGAUAGCUGGUUCUCCCCGAAAGCUAUUUAGG
rnacentral:rRNA from 1 species